UACGAAGGGGGCUAGCGUUGCUCGGAAUCACUGGGCGUAAAGCGCACGUAGGCGGCUUUCUAAGUCAGGGGUGAAAUCCUGGAGCUCAACUCCAGAACUGCCUUUGAUACUGGAGAGCUUGAGUCCGGAAGAGGUGAGUGGAACUCCGAGUGUAGAGGUGAAAUUCGUAGAUAUUCGGAAGAACACCAGUGGCGAAGGCGGCUCACUGGUCCGGUACUGACGCUGAGGGUGCGAAAGCGUGGGGGAGCAAACAGGG
rnacentral:rRNA from 1 species